AGAGCGCAAGGGGAAUGCCUUGGCACUGGGAGCCGACGAAGGACGUAGCGAUCUACGAUAAGCCACGGUGAGCCGAAAGCAGGCAUCGACCCGUGGAUUUCCGAAUGGGGCAACCUGGCUGAAUAGAACUCAGUCAACAUACGGUGAAUAAAAUAGUCGUAUGUAGGGAACCGCCUGAACUGAAACAUCUAAGUAGGGCGAGGAAAAGAAAUCAACCGAGAUUCCGCAAGUAGUGGCGAGCGAACGCGGAAGAGGCCAAACCGAGAGUAGUAAUACUUUCGGGGUUCGGACAGCGUAAGGUAUGCUAAAGGUUAGCAGAAGGACAUGGGACGGUCCACCACAGAGAGUGAUAGUCUCGUAUGCGAAAACCUAAAGCAGCCGGCUGGAUCCAGAGUACCGCCGGACACGUGAAACCCGGUGGGAAUACGGGGGGACCAUCCCCCAAGCCUAAAUACUACCCAGUGACCGAUAGCGUAUAGUACUGUGAAGGAAAGGUGAAAAGAACCCCGGGAGGGGAGUGAAAAGAACCUGAAACCUUGUGCUUACAAGCACACAAAGCACGUCAACGUGUGAUGUGGUACCUUUUGUAGAAUGGUCCGGCGAGUGAAUGUAACUGGCGAGGUUAAGUUCUUAAGGAACGGAGCCGAAGCGAAAGCGAGUCUGAACAGGGCGAUUCAGUCAGUUGUAUUCGACCCGAAACCGGGUGACCUAUCCAUGUCCAGGAUGAAGUUAAGGUAAAACUUGAUGGAGGUCCGAACCCACGGUCGUUGAAAUGCCCGGGGAUGAGAUGUGGAUAGCGGAGAAAUUCCAAUCGAACCCGGAUAUAGCUGGUUCUCUCCGAAAUAGCUUUAGGGCUAGCCUCGACUGAACAUUACCGGAGGUAGAGCGCUGAAUGGGCUAGGGGCCGAGAGGUUACUGAACCCUAUCAAACUUCAAAUGCCGGAAAAUGAUAGUCGGGAGUCAGACUGCGUGAGAUAAGUUUCGUAGUCGAAAGGGAAACAGCCCAGACCCACAGCUAAGGUCCCAAAGUACGGUUAAGUGGAAAAGGAUGUGGAGUUGCACAGACAACCAGGAUGUUGGCUUAGAAGCAGCCACUCAUUAAAAGAGUGCGUAAUAGCUCACUGGUCGAGUGACUCUGCGCCGAAAAUUUAACGGGGCUAAAUCGUACACCGAAGCUUGGGAUGUUAGAUGUUAGACAGUAGACAUUAGACAAUAGAUGAGGAGCUCAGAAAUGAACGGUUAUGAGAAAUUGCAGGUGUAUCAAAGAGGAUAUGCGGCAGCGAAAAGCGUUUACAGGAUGACGGAGAGUUAUCCGAAAGAAGAGCGCUAUGGAAUAACCGAUCAGAUGAGACGAGCAGCAGUAUCAGUAGCAUUGAAUAUCGCAGAAGGAUAUGCAAAGAAAGAUAGUCAGCCGGAAUUUAAAAGAUUUCUGGAAAUGGCAAAAGGUUCUGCAUAUGAAAUGAGUGUCUUGAUAGAUUUGUCAAGAGAUUUAGGAUAUAUCAAUGAUGAAAAGCAUGACAAAGCAUUAAAAGAGUAUGAAGAAAUCUCAAAGAUGCUGAGUGUACUGAUAAAGCGCAUAAGAUCCAAUAUCUAAAAUCUAAUAUCUAGCGUCUAACAUCUAACAUGGUAGGAGAGCGUUGAAUGCGGGAAGAAGUCAUAGCGAAAGCGGUGGUGGACUGCAUUGAAGUGAGAAUGCCGGAAUGAGUAGCGAGAUUUAUGUGAGAAUCAUAAAGGCCGAAAGACUAAGGUUUCAGAAGGAAGGUUCGUCCGCUUCUGGUUAGCCGGGAGCUAAGGUGAGGCCGAAAGGCGUAGCCGAUGCACAUACGGUGGAGAUUCCGUAGCCGUCAAAAUAUUUAAGCAAAGGGACACUUAUGAAGGGCAUGACCCGGGCGAUGGUAGCCCCGGGCGUAAGGGACCGAAAAUAAGUAGGGAAGCAUGUUUGGAAUAAGGCGAGAAAAGCUUUGUGAAUAUAUGAGACGUCCGUACCGCAAACCGACACAGGUAGUCAGGAAGAGGAUUCUAAGGCCAACGGGAGAAGGGUAGUUAAGGAACUCGGCAAAUUGACCCCGUAACUUCGGAAUAAGGGGCGGUGCGUAAGCACCCGCAGUGAAUAGGUCCAGGCGACUGUUUAUCAAAAACACAGCUCUCUGCUAAAUCGAAAGAUGACGUAUAGGGGGUGACACCUGCCCGGUGCUGGAAGGUUAAGAGGAGGAGUGCAAGCUCCGAAUUGAAGCCCCAGUAAACGGCGGCCGUAACUAUAACGGUCCUAAGGUAGCGAAAUUCCUUGUCGGGUAAGUUCCGACCCGCACGAAUGGUGUAACGAUCUGGACACUGUCUCAACUGCCCACCCGGCGAAAUUGUAGUACCGGUGAAGAUGCCGGUUACCCGCGGCAAGACGGAAAGACCCCAUGGAGCUUUACUGUAACUUGAUAUUGGGUCUUGGUAUUCUAUGUACAGGAUAGGCGGGAGACUGAGAAACAUACACGCCAGUGUAUGCGGAGUCAUCCUUGGGAUACCGCUCUUAGAGUACUGAGAUUCUAACCUGCGGCCGUGAAUCCGGUCGGGGGACAUUGUCAGGUGGGCAGUUUGACUGGGGCGGUCGCCUCCUAAAAGGUAACGGAGGCGCUCAAAGGUUAGCUCAGCACGGUCGGAAACCGUGCCUCUGAGUGUAAACGCAAAAGCUAGCCUAACUGCGAGGCUGACGGGCCGAGCAGUAACGAAAGUU
rnacentral:rRNA from 1 species